UAGCAAGGUUAACCGAAUAGGGGAGCCGGAGGGAAACCGAGUCUUAAUUGGGCGUUAAGUUGCAGGGUAUAGACCCGAAACCCGGUGAUCUAGCCAUGGGCAGGUUGAAGGUUGGGUAACACUAACUGGAGGACCGAACCGACUAAUGUUGAAAAAUUAGCGGAUGACCUGUGGCUGGGGGUGAAAGGCCAAUCAAACCGGGAGAUAGCUGGUUCUCCCCGAAAGCUAUUUAGGUAGCGCCUCGUGAAUUCAUCUCCGGGGGUAGAGCACUGUUUCGGCUAGGGGGCCAUCCCGGCUUACCAACCCGAUGCAAACUGCGAAUACCGGAGAAUGUUAUCACGGGAGACACACGGCGGGUGCUAACGUCCGUCGUGAAGAGGGAAACAACCCAGACCGCCAGCUAAGGUCCCAAAGUCAUGGUUAAGUGGGAAACGAUGUGGGAAGGCCCAGACAGCCAGGAUGUUGGCUUAGAAGCAGCCAUCAUUUAAAGAAAGCGUAAUAGCUCACUGGUCGAGUCGGCCUGCGCGGAAGAUGUAACGGGGCUAAACCAUGCACCGAAGCUGCGGCAGCGACACUGUGUGUUGUUGGGUAGGGGAGCGUUCUGUAAGCCUG
rnacentral:rRNA from 1 species